UACGGGGGGGGCAAGCGUUGUUCGGAAUUACUGGGCGUAAAGGGCUCGUAGGCGGCCAACUAAGUCAGACGUGAAAUCCCUCGGCUUAACCGGGGAACUGCGUCUGAUACUGGAUGGCUAGAGGUUGGGAGAGGGAUGCGGAAUUCCAGGUGUAGCGGUGAAAUGCGUAGAUAUCGGGAGGAACACCGGUGGCGAAGGCGGCAUCCUGGACCAAUUCUGACGCUGAUGAGCGAAAGCCAGGGGAGCAAACGGG
rnacentral:rRNA from 1 species